rnacentral:rRNA from 1 species
GACGAACGCUGGCGGCGUGCUUAACACAUGCAAGUCGAGCGGUAAGGCCCCUUCGGGGGUACACGAGCGGCGAACGGGUGAGUAACACGUGGGUGACCUGCCCUCAGCUCUGGGAUAAGCCUGGGAAACUGGGUCUAAUACCGGAUAUGACUCCAUGACGCAUGUCGUGGGGUGGAAAGCCUUGUGCGGCUGGGGAUGGGCCCGCGGCCUAUCAGCUUGUUGGUGGGGUGAUGGCCUACCAAGGCGACGACGGGUAGCCGGCCUGAGAGGGCGACCGGCCACACUGGGACUGAGACACGGCCCAGACUCCUACGGGAGGCAGCAGUGGGGAAUCUUGCGCAAUGGGCGAAAGCCUGACGCAGCGACGCCGCGUGA